ensembl:scaRNA
AAUGGAAGCUGCAAGAACCAUCCAUGUGGACAAAUGAGGAGUACCCUUUGUCUGCAGAUAGCAGCAUCCUACAUAAACAUGGAGGUCUCUGUCUGACUUGGCACAGCUGGCUAAGUCUGAUCGUUCCCCUCCAGACACU